rnacentral:sRNA from 8 species
AUUCUACCCAUGUGGGGAAGGAUGAGAAGCUUCGACUAAGGUUCGAUUCGAGCGCAGCGAGAAAGCGUUGCCGCAGGCAACGACCCGAAGGGCGAAGCGCGCAGCGCUGAGUCAUCCUUCCCCCAUAGGCA